rnacentral:rRNA from 1 species
AGACAGCAGUAGCCGCGGGAAUACGGAGGGGGCUAGCGUUGUUCGGAAUUACUGGGCGUAAAGCGCACGUAGGCGGCUUGGUAAGUUAGAGGUGAAAGCCUGGAGCUCAACUCCAGAAUUGCCUUUAAGACUGCCGAGCUAGCAGGUGAGAGAGGUAAGUGGAAUUCCGAGUGUAGAGGUGAAAUUCGUAGAUAUUCGGAAGAACACCAGUGGCGAAGGCGGCUUACUGGCUCAUACUGGACGCUGAGGUGCGAAAGCGUGGGGAGCAAACAGGAUUAGAUACCCGCGUAGUCCCUGUCUCUUAUAC